AAGUUGCAGGGUAUAGACCCGAAACCCGGUGAUCUAGCCAUGGGCAGGUUGAAGGUUGGGUAACACUAACUGGAGGACCGAACCGACUAAUGUUGAAAAAUUAGCGGAUGACUUGUGGCUGGGGGUGAAAGGCCAAUCAAACCGGGAGAUAGCUGGUUCUCCCCGAAAGCUAUUUAGGUAGCGCCUCGUGAAUUCAUCUCCGGGGGUAGAGCACUGUUUCGGCAAGGGGGUCAUCCCGACUUACCAACCCGAUGCAAACUGCGAAUACCGGAGAAUGUUAUCACGGGAGACACACGGCGGGUGCUAACGUCCGUCGUGAAGAGGGAAACAACCCAGACCGCCAGCUAAGGUCCCAAAGUCAUGGUUAAGUGGGAAACGAUGUGGGAAGGCCCAGACAGCCAGGAUGUUGGCUUAGAAGCAGCCAUCAUUUAAAGAAAGCGUAAUAGCUCACUGGUCGAGUCGGCCUGCGCGGAAGAUGUAACGGGGCUAAACCAUGCACCGAAGCUGCGGCAGCGACGCUUAUGCGUUGUUGGGUAGGGGAGCGUUCUGUAAGCCUGUGAAGGUGUGCUGUGAGGCAUGCUGGAGGUAUCAGAAGUGCGAAUGCUGACAUAAGUAACGAUAAAGCGGGUGAAAAGCCCGCUCGCCGGAAGACCAAGGGUUCCUGUCCAACGUUAAUCGGGGCAGGGUGAGUCGACCCCUAAGGCGAGGCCGAAAGGCGUAGUCGAUGGGAAACAGGUUAAUAUUCCUGUACUUGGUGUUACUGCGAAGGGGGGACGGAGAAGGCUAUGUUGGCCGGGCGACGGUUGUCCCGGUUUAAGCGUGUAGGCUGGUUUUCCAGGCAAAUCCGGAAAAUCAAGGCUGAGGCGUGAUGACGAGGCACUACGGUGCUGAAGCAACAAAUGCCCUGCUUCCAGGAAAAGCCUCUAAGCAUCAGGUAACAUCAAAUCGUACCCCAAACCGACACAGGUGGUCAGGUAGAGAAUACCAAGGCGCUUGAGAGAACUCGGGUGAAGGAACUAGGCAAAAUGGUGCCGUAACUUCGGGAGAAGGCACGCUGAUAUGUAGGUGAAGUCCCUCGCGGAUGGAGCUGAAAUCAGUCGAAGAUACCAGCUGGCUGCAACUGUUUAUUAAAAACACAGCACUGUGCAAACACGAAAGUGGACGUAUACGGUGUGACGCCUGCCCGGUGCCGGAAGGUU
rnacentral:rRNA from 1 species